UACGGAGGGUGCAAGCGUUAAUCGGAAUUACUGGGCGUAAAGGGUGCGUAGGCGGUUGUUUAAGUCUGUUGUGAAAUCCCCGGGCUUAACCUGGGAAUGGCAUUUGGGACUGCAAGGCUCGAGUGCGGCAGAGGAGACUGGAAUUCCUGGUGUAGCAGUGAAAUGCGUAGAUAUCAGGAGGAACACCGAUGGCGAAGGCAGGUCUCUGGGCUGACACUGACGCUCAUGCACGAAAGCGUGGGGAGCAAACAGG
rnacentral:rRNA from 1 species